GCCCGCUCAAUGCCAGGGUCUUAGCGCGGAUGAGCCUCGCCUAGUCUACCGAAGCAAUUUGCUCUCCGCACCGCGCCACAGCGAGGUAGCCAGUACCUUCGGACUGUGGCUGCCUGGCCCUGUUAGACAAGCUGACUGUGAAGUUAUAUGGAGAGAAAAGACACCAGGCACAUGAACCUGUGUUCUACAUACCGCUGGGUAUGGUGAAAGAAGGAAAGUCAAGGCACGGACCUACUGUGGGUCAUGUGGUAGACACACGGUUAAAAGUCUCUGCUAUUGAAUCUGACCUAUCCCCUCAGGCUCCUGUUUUAACCUUGGCUCCCUGCUUCUGGCACUGUUUUGAAGGCUUGGGCUGAGCUGCCUUAAAGUUUACUCCUGCCUCUGGUUCUCCUUGCUUUCUCUAAUUCUGUAUUGCUACCGUGUAAGCCGUCCUCCACUCCAUGCUUCUCCCUGCCACAGACAGCUGCCAUGAAUUCUGCCAUGCCUUCCCUGUGUGAGAGACUGAAACAAGAGCCAAAAUAGAUAUUUCUUCCUUUAAGCUGCUUCUGUUGGGGCAUUUUGCUCACAGCAGCACAAAAGAAGCUAGUACGGUCUUUAACACUUCUGCCAUGAGAGAGGCUCCAACCUUUCUGGCUCCCUCAAAUCUAGAUUGGCUUUUAUGAUUUGCCUGGCCAGCAGAUUUUAAAGGAUGUCACAGUCUGGGGUUCCUGUGUCACGAGAAGCCUUGACGCUUCUUUACAACUGUCUCAGAGCACUUGCUCUGGGGAAAGCCAGGUGCCAUCAGAGAAUUCCACGUCUCUGAAGUUGCCAUACUGGAAGGUAGCUGGGCUCCAACCUUUCUAGUCCACAGCCAUUCACUUGGGUACCAGAUAAGAAGCCAAGAAAAGGAGUCCCUGUGAUACACAGCUACUAGUUUAUGAGCAUAAUAAGUAGGAGUACUAGUUUAAGCCAGAAAGUUGGGGAAUGGCUGAUUACACGAUAGAAAACUGUAACGCAUCCUGUAACUCACUCUCGACAAGGACAAGAAGUCUAGUGAUGUAGACCCAAUUAAGAAUUCAUCAAGGGGGACUGGAGAGAUGGCUCAGUGGUUAAGAGCACCAACUGCUCUUCCUGAGGUCCUGAGUUCAAAUCCCAGCAACCACAUGGUGGCUCACAACCAUCUGUAAUGAGAUCUGAUGCCCUCUUCUGGUGUGUCUGAAGACAGCUACAGUGUACUCAUAUAUAAUAAAUAAAUAAAAUAUUAAAAAAAAAAGAAUUCAUCAAGGAAGGGCUGGUGAGACUUGGUGCGGUAGUACCUGACUUCAGUCCCAGCACUGGAGGGCAGAGGCAGAUGGAUCUUUGUGAGGCCAGCCUGGUCUACAUAGUGAGUUCCAGGACAAAUCAGAGAUGUAUAAUAGAGAGACCCUAUUAAAAAGAUUUUUUUAAUUAAAAAAAAAAACAAUAGAGUUGGUGAGAUAGCUCAGUGGGUAGAUACUUGCUGUGUAAAUCUGACAACUUAAAUUCAACCCCAGAAACCCGUAGAAGGAGAGAACUGACCCCACAACAUUGUCUUCAGACCUCCACACUCAUUCCAUAGCAUAAGCACACACACACACAAUAACAAAUUAAAAAAAAAUCAUCCAGGUGCACAUGCUCUUUUAAUCCCAGUACUUGGGAGGCAAGGGUAGGUGGAUCUCUGAGUUCAAAGCCACCCAGGCAUACAAAGUGAGUUCCUGGCUAGUCAGAGCUAUGUAGGAGAUCCUGUCUCAAAAACAAAACAAACCCAAUAUGAUCAUAAAAUCAAAUAUACACAGGUAGUGAGCUAUGUGUCAUAUCUGGUCACUCCUUGAAGUAUGUCUUUUGAACCCCGUGGACUAAUUAUGACUAAAAUACCUCCUCUUUGUGUAUCAAGAAUGCACAUAGUACACAUACAUACAUUCAGGGAAAACACUUAUACACAUAAAAUAAAAUACAUCUUAAUGGGGCAAGGGGAGAGCAACUUAGGGAAUAAAUGUUUACCUUGGCUUAUAGUUCCAGAAGGGUUACAGUCCAUCACAGUAGACAAGGCAUGGCAGGAAUAUGAAGGUGGCCUGGCGCACAGGAAGCAGAAAGAGCACACUUUAUCCAUACACAGGUAGCAGAGGGAAAUAACAGGAAGAGAUACCAGGCUAUACAACAUCAAAGUCUGUCCUAAGGACAGCAAGCCCUCACUUCCUAAAGGCUCCAUAAUCUUCUCAAACAGUGUCAUCAACUGGAGACCAAGUGUUCAAAUACCGGAGCCUAUGGGGGAGUUUUCUCAUUUCACACCAUGACUCUUUGUGCCUAGCAUUCAUGCUCUACCCUUUCUUCACUGGUCCUUCCUAAGGCAACAUUUCCAGGUGCCAAAAUGUUCAUGCUAAUGACAAACAAAACCAGCCUUUAACCUGGAAUGCUUUAAAUCUAGACCAUAAAUAACAGAAUCAUUAUGAACUGCCUGGUUAUGAGCCACCAUACAGGUGCCAUAGGAACCUGGGUCCUAUGAGCCUCCUGGAGGGGGGGGUCUGUGAUGGUUUGAAUGAGAAUGGCCCCCAUUGGCUCAUAUAUUUGAAGACUUGAUCCGCAGUUGGUGGAACUGUUUGGGAAGGGUUAGAAGGUAUGACCUUGUUGGAGAAGGGGUGUUGCUGGGAGUGGGCUCUGAAGUUCCAGAAGUCAUGCCAGUCUCAUGCUCUCUCUGCUUCGGCCUGUAGAUCCCCAUGUAAGCUCUUAGCUACUGCUCCAGUGCUGUGCCUGCCUGCCAUCACAUGUCCUGCCAUGAUGAUAAUAGGCUCGCCCUCUGAAACUGUAAUUAAGCUCCCAAUUAAAUGCUUUCUUCUGUAA